rnacentral:lncRNA from 1 species
GUGCUUCCCCUGUCCGCAGCGCCUGCAGGGCCGACCAGUAUCAGUCCCAGGUCCAAUCCUGAGUGGCCAAAAGCAGGAGACCCGGAGUUGGACCUGGGACUUGCACAAGCCGGACCACGUGAGCUCGGCCACGCCAGAGGUGAGGCCACCGCUGCGGGACCAGGGAAUCUGAGGCUGGAUUUUGAAGGACCCCAUUAAUAGAGGAACAAGUUACAGGGUAUAAACCAGAUGCAGGCCAUCAGGGAGGAGUGUCACUCAAGCCCGAUCUUGUCUACACCAGGAAGGGCCUGCCUGGAAGAAAAUACGGGGGCUGCAGAAUAAUGUGGCUCAAAGCCAAAUAUCCGUUUGUUUUAGGGAGUGAGGCUGCUUGAGAAGCAUCUUAAAGGGGGAUGGGGAGUAAGUUAAACCUGAUUUUUACCCAGCUCUGUGGACCCAAAAUAUCCACAGCAUAUUAUCUCCAUUCCCACUUGGAGUCACUCCUAUUCCGUUUCCUGCACCACCAUUCUCUUAGUUGCUCUACACUAAAAUUUGCUGUCAUC